GAGUAAUAUAUAGUUAAUCUGCCCCAAAGAGAGGGAUAACAGUUGGAAACGACUGCUAACACCUUAUAUGCCUUUAAGACAAAAGUCUGCAAGGGAAACAUUUAUGGCUUUGGGAUGAGACUGUACGGUAUCAGUUAGUUGGUGAGGUAAUGGCUCACCAAGACUAUGACACCUAACUGGUUUGAGAGGAUGAUCAGUCACACUGGAACUGAGACACGGUCCAGACUCCUACGGGAGGCAGCAGUGGGGAAUAUUGCACAAUGGACGAAAGUCUGAUGCAGCAACGCCGCGUGGAGGAUGACACAUUUCGGUGCGUAAACUCCUUUUAUAUAGGAAGAUAAUGACGGUACUAUAUGAAUAAGCGCCGGCUAACUCCGUGCCAGCAGCCGCGGUAAUACGGAGGGCGCAAGCGUUACUCGGAAUCACUGGGCGUAAAGAGCAUGUAGGCGGGUUAAUAAGUCAGAAGUGAAAUCCUAUAGCUCAACUAUAGAACUGCUUUUGAAACUGUUAACCUAGAAUGUGGGAGAGGUAGAUGGAAUUUCUGGUGUAGGGGUAAAAUCCGUAGAGAUCAGAAGGAAUACCGAUUGCGAAGGCGAUCUACUGGAACAUUAUUGACGCUGAGAUGCGAAAGCGUGGGGAGCAAACAGGAUUAGAUACCCUGGUAGUCCACGCCCUAAACGAUGCACACUAGUUGUUGCCAUGCUAGACAUGG
rnacentral:rRNA from 1 species